GUUUUGAGUGGACUGGACUGCUGACAACCAAGAUUGGAAUUGCCCUAAAGAACUACUUCUAAACAGAUCCCUGGAUCUCCCAGCCAGAUUUGAAAAGAGGAAAUAAAGUCUAUGUCCCCCAGUUUCCUCAGACUGGCAGUGUGAGGAGCUGAUGCCUCCCAAAGGACACAGCACCGGAGUGGGAUUACGGACAUCUCUCCAUCACUCUCAUCAUCUGUUCAUGCCCUUAUAGUUUUUUAUACCAUCUAAACACAGAUACACACAUACACAGAGACACACACACACAGAGGCACACACACACACACAGACACAUGCACAGACACACAGACACACGCAGAUACACACACACACACACACACACACACUCACACACACACAGAGAGAGAGAGAGAGAGAGAGAGAGAGAGACCUAAGCUCUUUCUGAUCACCGAGAUUACACACACCUCAUUCUACUGAAGGCAUCAGGGG
rnacentral:lncRNA from 1 species